AUCACAGAGUCGACGAGCUACUCUCAUCUUGCGCCGCCCCUCUACCAGUGAUCGUGAGAUCGUCUACGAUUUACGGAAUAGUCGAAAGAAGCAGCAGAUACUGUCAACGUCUGAAAGUUUUCAGCGUCACUGCGGCUUGUCGAUAAAUAUUAACGAAUAAAUAAUAUGGAAACACAUCAACGAACCGCAUGUUUCUCAUAAUUUAACGUUAAUAGUUUAACGUUCGUUGGCGAUACGUUCGGUUUCGAGUUAGCGUUCGCUCGAACAGAAAACUCGUGUUACUGUUAUUUCAGCAUUGUGAAUGAAGAAACCAAGGGAGGACAGAAUAAAGUAAAGGCAGUGGCUUAUAAGAAGAGAUACAUUUUCGCCUACGAAAUUCGCUGCGGAAGAUUUUCACGAUGAACGUUGAAGAUCUGGAAAUACCGUCAAUAUACAGUGAACGUCUGAGCAUCCUCUUGGAUUUUAAACUCUCAGUAUGGCUAUUAGAUGAGUAUUAGUACAAUUAGGGAGAAGAAAUAAGCGAAUUGAUAAUGGAAAUAUCAUAGCCCAACAAGGUUUGAAGAGAUCUGUCUAUCCUUUUCCUAUGUGUUUUUUACCUUGAAGACUUUUGUUACUUUUGCGGAAACUGGAAUAUUAAAUAAAAUGAAAUGUUAGUUGAGCAGUGUGGAAGAAGAUGAAGGAGGGAAAGAGAAGGAGCAAAGCGAUAUUUAUUGUCGGUUUUUACAAGUAGAAAGUAAGCAAAGUUGAUUAUCGCUCUGUUUCUUUUAGGGAAAUCCUUAAUUGGUAUCGAUAUACCUUUUUCCCAAUAGUUUCUCUCUUAUCCGGCUAGCGAUGUAACUCGCGCAAUAACAUACACGCUAUUGGCACGCGAUUUUAUCAACACAGUGAAAAACAGGCGAAACGAAGAAGAAGAAACUACGGGUUACGCUAAGAUAACUGGCCGAAACAGAAGCAGAAUCGGAACAAAGUUAAAUUUACAAAAAUGUAAUUUGAAUCUAAAUUUCCAUUUAUGGGAUAUUGUAUUUCCCAAUACAAUCAUAAAAAGUGCACAAUAUCGUUUACCAUCUUCGUUCCAACGUCUCGCACCAACUUCUAUUUCUUGGUGUUCCCUGAUUAUUUUAACGAUAUACGUAUAAUUUAUAAUCUUGCGAAGAUUACAAAAGAAUCGAUUGUGAGAAUUUCCUGGUCUAAUUGACUACGUAGAAUUACUUUAACGUAGUCCCAACAUUGUCACGUCAAUCGACUACGCUAAAUAAAAUUAUAGAUUUUAGAUAA